rnacentral:lncRNA from 1 species
AUGUGCAGUCCUCAGAUGAACCCCGGGCUUCUCUGCAGGAUCCCAAAGCUUUAUGGGUUUUUAAAAUUUGCUGUUGCCAUUUCACCUCCUUGGGACCCAGCGUCAAGAAGAGGUUUUGGAAAACCCAACACCAUCUCUUUGACCUCUCUUCCUGAGGUGAGCCUGUGGACGAAGCACGGUGCUGAGCAGGUGCCACGGGGCUGUGCCCUCUCUGAGGCUGACGUCACAACCCUGAGCAGGUGUGCGGACACAUCCCGCCUCUCGGAGGUGCCACACUGGGGAUGCCACGCUGAGGAUGUGGUGACGACACCUGAGCAGAGGAAGCGAGAGCAUGGUAUCUUUAAAAAGUUCAGCCCUUCAUUUCCCCUGGAUGCAGAGCAAGCAGCACUGUCCUGGCACCGUGAACAUGUCUCAUGCCCAUCGUUUUCCCAGAGUUUAACGCCAACAGAAAUGUCAGGUGCUGUUCUAAACGCUGUCUGUGUAUUGCCUGAGUUAAUCCUCAUAACACACAUAGAACAUAGUCCUUGGUUUCCAUUCUGAAGAAAUAAGCUGAGUCAGCAGAGAGAGGACCACGGGCUGAGGAACUCGCCACAGAGAAGAGUCAGGAAGCGGCUCCAGGGCUUCUGCUUCCGGAAGGGUCUCCUGCGGCCCAGACUCCUCUCAGGGACCUCAGAGCUCAGUCCAGGGCCCAGCACGUUGCUGCCAAGGGCUCCUCCUUAGACUGUAUGUUUGGGAAGCUGGGCCACUUAAGUAAGCUACAUUAAGCCACCAUGACUUGGCUAAUGUUUUCCUAUGUUUCUAUUUUUAUCACUCAUCAAAUAUACUUUUCUGUUUGUUUCCUACCAUUCAUGAUAUAUAAUUGUGAAUUGAAUAUUUGCACCAUGUUGUAAUCUAGCUGUGUUCCCGCACUAAGCUGCUUAAGAAAGACAAGCAGCUGAAAACAGGAAACCUGCAUUUUAGCUCAUCUGUGUUAUUGAUCCUGAGCAAACGUAUGAUUUUCACUAUCUUUUGAAAUACAGAUAAUAGCCAUCGGUGUCAUUGCUAUCAUCUGAAAUGACACACACAGUCCCCAUGUGGUGUUUUCAUUUUUCCCAUCACAUCAUCUCAUUUUAGCGGUGUAGAGGCCAGUCUGCAGGAGGGCUGAGCGGGGCCCGGAACCCCAGGCUCCAGGUUUCAGGCAUGAUUCCCAUUCCAGCUGCUGAUGUGGCCCUCGGAAGGCUCUGCCCCCACAUGGAGGAGGCAUCAUCCCCUCUCACUGACUGUCCAGCACCUGCUCUGCCCCCACAAGGAGAAGGCGUCAUCCCCUCUCACUGACUGUCCAGCACCUGCCCUGCCCCCACAAGGAGAAGGCGUCAUCCCCUCUCACUGACUGUCCACUCUGCCACCUGCCCUGCCUCAUCACCCCACUAAGAUCCGCCAGGG